GACGAACGCUGGCGGCGUGCCUAAUACAUGCAAGUCGAACGGGUGGCGGACUGGUGAGUAAUGUCGGAAAACCUGCCCGAUGGACGGGUGUAACUGCUGGAAACGGUGGCUAAUACCGCAUACCAUCGUAUGUGCCGAGAUGGGAUUAGCUAGUGGGUGGGGUAACGGCUCACCUAGGCGACGAUCCCUAGCUGGUCGGAGAGGAUGACCAGCCACACUGGAACUGAGACACGGUCCAGACUCCUACGGGAGGCAGCAGUGGGGAAUAUUGGACAAUGGGCGAAAGUCUGAUGCAGCCAUGCCGCGUGUAUGAAGAAGGUUUUCGGGUUGUAAAGUACUUUCAGCGAGGAGGCGUUACUCGCACAAGAAGCACCGGCUAACUCCGUGCCAGCCGCCGCGGUAAUAC
rnacentral:rRNA from 1 species